AGUGUAUUCAACCAUGUACCUGGACGC
rnacentral:piRNA from 1 species